GACGAACGCUGGCGGCGUGCCUAAUACAUGCAAGUCGAACGCAGUGGGGACGGGUGAGUAACACGUGGGUAACCUCCCCAUCAGAGGGGAUAACACUUGGAAACAGGUGCUAAACCGAUACCGCUGGAUGACCCCGCGGUGCAUGAGCUAGUUGGUGAGGUAACGGCUCACCAAGGACACGAGGCAUAGCCGACCUGAGAGGGUGAGCGGCCCGACGGGGACUGCGACACGUCCCAGACUCCUACGGGAGGCAGCAGUAGGGAAGCUUCGGCAAUGGACGAAAGUCUGACCGAGCAACGCCGCGUGAGUGAAGAAGGUUUUCGGAUCGUAAAACUCUGUUGUUAGAGAAGCGGUAUCUAACCAGAAAGCCACGGCUAACUACGUGCCAGCAGCCGCGGUAAUUC
rnacentral:rRNA from 1 species